GUACAUGGCCCUGCAUAAUCUCCUAAAAGCAAUCCCACAUGAUUUUCUGGAAUGACUUACCAAGUUGGCCUUCCCUGCUACUGAAAGAACAAUAAAUCCUCUGCGUGAAACCAAUAGGAGCAGGGAGGAGAAACCUCAAUCCCAAUCCCACAUUCUGAAGACAACUUUUUCAGUAUUUGUGGUGCUACAUACGUGGUCUUUCAGAAAUCCUCGGACUUGUACAAAGUCAAGGACUUAAGAUAAAAAUCAGCAAUCUGUCUGCAUCGAAGACAUCUGUUUCUUGCCAUAAAGUCCUUACACAGCGACGACCGCUCAUUUAAGAAGUAAACCGUGGCCUGUUAAAUA